rnacentral:rRNA from 1 species
CGAGACGAACGAUAGCGAAAGCAUUUGCCAAGAAUGUUUUCCUUAAUCAAGAACGAAAGUCGGAGGUUCGAAGGCGAUCAGAUACCGCCCUAGUUCCGACCUUAAACCAUGCCGUCCGACCGCCCGCCAGGGUUACUACCGCGACUCGGCGGGCGGUGACUUUCCACCGGGAAACCCUUAAGCUUUCGGGUUCCGGGGGAAGUACGGUCGCAAAGCUGAAACUUAAAGGAAUUGACGGAAGGGCACCACCAGGAGUGGAGCCUGCGGCUUAAUUUGACUCAACACGGGGAACCUCACCCGGCCCGGACACCGCGAGGAUUGACAGAUCGAUAGCUCUUUCUCGAUCCGGUGGGUGGUGGUGCAUGGCCGUUCUUAGUUGGUGGAGCGAUCUGUCUGGUUAAUUCCGAUAACGAACGAGACUCUAGCCGGUUAAGUAGCCCGAGUGGCGUGUUGUUGAUUUAAAAACCGCCCUAGCGGCAUUCGGGGUGCUUUGCGGAAGCUGUCUGGCUUUAACGGUGGUGGGACGGGGAGGUGGAAGAYGACGGUUUUAGCCGCGUGCGUCGCGGCUGGGAUCUAGUUUUUUUAACUUCCCUUUAAUCCUGUCUCGUUUCGGCCUUUCACUUUUGUGGGCCUCUGUUUGCUUAGCUGGGGUAGAUAAAACGCUAACGAGAGUCGGGGGCAGUGGACGUUACUCGUGGAAUGGGUGGGCGCUCCUUAGUGGUGCGUCCCUCUUCCCGGUUUCGCUUUUCUGCUUUCCUCGUCGUCUCGCGCCACCGGCUUUCGAGUGCAAAAGCUUCUUAGAGGGACGAGCGGCGUUCAGCCGCGCGAGAUUGAGCGAUAAC